rnacentral:rRNA from 2 species
CGAACGCUGGCGGCGUGCUUAACACAUGCAAGUCGAACGGAAAGGCCCUUCGGGGUACUCGAGUGGCGAACGGGUGAGUAACACGUGGGUGAUCUGCCCUGCACUUUGGGAUAAGCCUGGGAAACUGGGUCUAAUACCGAAUAUGACCAUGCACUUCCUGGUGUGUGGUGGAAAGCUUUUGCGGUGUGGGAUGGGCCCGCGGCCUAUCAGCUUGUUGGUGGGGUAAUGGCCUACCAAGGCGACGACGGGUAGCCGGCCUGAGAGGGUGACCGGCCACACUGGGACUGAGAUACGGCCCAGACUCCUACGGGAGGCAGCAGUGGGGAAUAUUGCACAAUGGGCGCAAGCCUGAUGCAGCGACGCCGCGUGAGGGAUGACGGCCUUCGGGUUGUAAACCUCUUUCAGCACAGACGAAGCGCAAGUGACGGUAUGUGCAGAAGAAGGACCGAGCCAACUACGUGCCAGCAGCCGGCGGUAAUACGUAGGGUCCCAGCGUUGUCCGGAAUUACUGGGCGUAAAGAGCUCGUAGGUGGUUUGUCGCGUUGUUCGUGAAAACUCACAGCUUAACUGUGGGCGUGCGGGCGAUACGGGCAGACUUGAGUACUGCAGGGGAGACUGGAAUUCCUGGUGUAGCGGUGGAAUGCGCAGAUAUCAGGAGGAACACCGGUGGCGAAGGCGGGUCUCUGGGCAGUAACUGACGCUGAGGAGUGAAAGCGUGGGGAGCGAACAGGAUUAGAUACCCUGGUAGUCCACGCCGUAAACGGUGGGUACUAGGUGUGGGUUUCCUUCCUUGGGAUCCGUGCCGUAGCUAACGCAUUAAGUACCCCUCCUGGGGAGUACGGCCGCAAGGCUUCCCUCUAAGAAAUUGUCGUGGCCCGCGUUAGCGUCGGAGCAUGCGCAUCAGGGGUUUCCUCCGCCUCUUGCCAUCAGCGGACCACUC